GUGCCUGUGGUGUAGUGGUAACACAUGUUCUCCAGUUGUCUUGUAAAUACACAUAUAUCAACAGGUCCAGGGUUCAAAUCCCUGAAGUCACA